rnacentral:rRNA from 1 species
GGGGGGCAGCAGGGGGGAAUCUUAGACAAUGGGGGCAAGCCUGAUCUAGCCAUGCCGCGUGUGUGAUGAAGGCCCUAGGGUCGUAAAGCUCUUUCGACUGUGAUGAUAAUGACGGUAGCUGKUGAAGAAACCCCGGCUAGCUCCGUGCCAGCAGCCGCGGUAAUACGGAGGGGGUUAGCGUUGUUCGGAAUUACUGGGCGUAAAGCGUACGUAGGCGGAUUAGUAAGUUAGAGGUGAAAUCCCAGGGCUCAACCCUGGAACUGCCUUUAAUACUGYUAGUCUUGAGUUCGAGAGAGGUGAGUGGAAUUCCGAGUGUAGAGGUGAAAUUCGUAGAUAUUUGGAGGAACACKAGUGGCGAAGGCGGUUACUGGUCGA